rnacentral:rRNA from 1 species
CAGCAGCCGCGGGAAAACGUAGGGUGCGAGCGUUAAUCGGAAUUACUGGGCGUAAAGCGUGCGCAGGCGGUUGUGUAAGACAGGUGUGAAAUCCCCGGGCUUAACCUGGGAACUGCGCUUGUGACUGCACAGCUAGAGUAUGGCAGAGGGGGGUGGAAUUCCACGUGUAGCAGUGAAAUGCGUAGAGAUGUGGAGGAACACCGAUGGCGAAGGCAGCCCCCUGGGCCAAUACUGACGCUCAUGCACGAAAGCGUGGGGAGCAAACAGGAUUAGAUACCCGCGUAGUCCCUGUCUCUUAUAA